UACGUAUGGAGCAAGCGUUAUCCGGAUUUACUGGGUGUAAAGGGAGCGCAGGCGGCGCGUUAAGUCUGAUGUGAAAACCCGCGGCUCAACUGCGGGACUGCAUUGGAAACUGGCGGGCUUGAGUGCCGGAGAGGCAAGCGGAAUUCCUAGUGUAGCGGUGAAAUGCGUAGAUAUUAGGAAGAACACCAGUGGCGAAGGCGGAUUACUGGACGAUAACUGACGGUGAGGCGCGAAAGUGUGGGGAGCAAACAGG
rnacentral:rRNA from 1 species